rnacentral:misc_RNA from 1 species
GUCAGCCAUGUCAGGAGCAUGUGCCGGUCAAAGAGCUUAGCCUCGUAAUCAAACUUUUGCAGUUUCGAGGUAACUCACUAUGUGUGCCCAAGGGAUCUCUACGCCUACAAGUUAUAGUGGUGGACUUUGGCAAGACAAGACCGAGUAUCUAGUUCGUCAAAGAGACUAUUUGCCUUCAUUACAAAGAGACGUGCGAAAGUAUGUGCAAAGUUGUAUGGUGUGCCAAAGGGCAAAGACAAAACACCAACCUCUUCCGAUACCCAAUGCUCCAUGAGAGGAGAUCUGAAUGGACUUUUUUAUAGGUUUGCCUAAGACUCGAGGUGGCUAUUCUUCCAUAUUUGUGGUAGUUGACCGGUUCUCCAAGAUGGCCCACUUCAUCCCAUGUAAGUGCAUUACCGAUUCCUCUAAUCUUGCUACUUUCUUCUUAGUUAGAUUGAAUGGGGAAAACGAGAACUUCUGAUAGAGACACCCGUUUUGUGGGAAGAACACUAUACUUCUCUAGUACCUACAACCAUCAAACCGAUGGACAUUAAGUGUGGGAGGAGAGCAAGGACUGCCUCUUCUGGCCCCCGACUGUGCAUCGAGAAGUUCGUCUAAGCAUGACUUUAUGUGGGAACUUCGAUUCCAUCUCUAGCGUGGAUAGAGAAGCCCGAAGCUAGUCUUUUUCGUUGUGAUGGAUUGGAUUCUGAAAGAAAAGGUUCUAUAAGCCAAGCCCCGCUAAGCAGGCACGUCUGAACAUUGUGUUGUGGAGUCGGGAAGGUAGGAACUGAACCUAGCUAGCCAGAGAGAAUGUAGGCGAACAAGGACGGUGCACGAAGGUGCGAUUGAUUGAGCGAAGGAGGCCGGCCUAACAAGAAUCUCAAAUCUCUCUCGACACUGAGAACAUGCGCCCAAAAGGCACGUGUUGAUUCCUCGAUGUUGAGGUAGCCUGCCUCCGAGAGAAUCGCGGCAACUGGUACAAGAAUAGAUCUUUUAUAUUACGUCUAAAAGAAUCAGUAAGAUAUACUGAUCACUUACCAAUCCUUCGAACAUCCAGUAACACGGAACACUAACUAGAUCUGAACU